rnacentral:rRNA from 1 species
AAACAUGGCUUCUUGAUUUUAAAAAUAAGAAGUCAGGCCUGCCCAGUGAUUAUUUUAACGGCCGCAGUACCCUGACUGUGCUAAGGUAGCAUAAUCAUUUGCCUUUUAAUUAAGGGCUUGUAUGAAUGGUUCAUUGAAUUUCAUACUGUUUCUAUAGAAAUUCAUAAAAUUUAAAUUUAAAGUACAAAUGCUUUAAUAUUACUAAAAGACGAGAAGACCCUAUCAAGCUUUAGUUAAUAAAUUAAUUACUUAAUAUUAAUAUAUAUUUUAUAAUUUUAAACUUUGAUUGGGGCCAUCAAGGACUAUAAAAAUCGUCCUUAAAAUUAAAAUUAUAUAAAUCUGAUCCAAAUUUAUUUUGAUCAUUAAACAAGCUACUGUAGGGAUAACAGCAUAAUUUUUCUUAAAAGUUCUUAUUGAAAGAAAAGAUUAUGACCUCGAUGUUGGAUUAAGAUUUCCUGAAGAUGCAGCAGUCUUUAUGGUUGGUCUGUUCGCCCAUUAAAAUCUUACAUGAUCUGA